AGAGAGAGAGAGAGUCGGUUGGAAUCAGUUCUAGGAUGUGGUGACACAGGUGUUCCUCCAAAACCCACGGUAAUACCCUCGGAUGAGGUGGCCAAGGAGCGAGAAGUGGGGGCAGACUCCCCAAACGCCUUAGAAGAAA